GUUCCAGACUCCUACGGGAGGCAGCAGUGGGGAAUAUUGGGCAAUGGGCGCAAGCCUGGCCCAGCAACGCCGCGUGAAGGAAGAAGGCUUUCGGGUUGUAAACUUCUUUUAUUCGGGACGAAGCAAGUGACGGUACCUGAGGAAUAAGCCACGGCUAACUACGUGCCAGCAGCCGCGGUAAUACGUAGGUGGCAAGCGUUAUCCGGAUUUAUUGGGUUUAAAGGGUGCGCAGGCGGUCUGUUAAGUCAGCGGUCAAAGCCCGGGGCUCAACCCCGGUCCGCCGUUGAAACUGGCAGUCUCGAGUUGGAGAGAAGUAUGCGGAAUGCGUGGUGUAGCGGUGAAAUGCAUAGAUAUCACGCAGAACUCCGAUUGCGAAGGCAGCGUACCGGCGCCCAACUGACGCUGAAGCACGAAGGCGUGGGUAUCGAACAGGAUUAGAUACCCCAGUAA
rnacentral:rRNA from 1 species